ACAAACUUGGUCAUUUAGAGGAAGUAAAAGUCGUAACAAGGUUUCCGUAGGUGAACCUGCGGAAGGAUCAUUACAGAGAACCUGCCCAUAGGGUAGAUCUCCCACCCUUUGUUUACUUAACCUUUGUUGCCUUGGCAGGUCCGUCGUAUGACCACCGGCUUCUGCUGGUCAGCGCCUGCCAGAGGACACUCCCAAUUCUUGAUUUUGUGUUGUCUGAGCAUCAUAUAUAAUUAAAACUUUCAACAACGGAUCUCUUGGUUCUGGCAUCGAUGAAGAACGCAGC
rnacentral:misc_RNA from 1 species